UUCACUUCUUGGCUUUUUGGCUGAGAUCAAGUGUAGUAUCUGUUUUUCAGUCUAGUAGCUGAUACAUCCUCUGAGGACAAUGUAUUAAGUAACUUUUGCAGCCGGGGUAUGGAAUAGGAGCUUGCUCCAUCCACUCUGUAUCAGCCUGGCGUUGCAGUAUUUCCAGGAAUGAUGCAUGCCCC
ensembl:snRNA U2 U2 spliceosomal RNA